rnacentral:rRNA from 1 species
CAGCAGGCCACGCCAAAUUACCCACUCCCGGCACGGGGAGGUAGUGACAAAAAAUAACGAUACGGGACUCUUAUGAGGCCCCGUAAUCGGAAUGAGUACACUUUAAAUCCUUUAACAAGGAUCCAUUGAAGGGCAAGUCUGGUGCCAGCAGCCGCGGUAAUUCCAGCUUCAAUAGCGUAUAUUAAAGUUGUUGCGGUUAAAAAGCUCGUAGUUGGUUCUGCGUGCUACGCUGUCGGUUCGCCGCCUGCCGGUGUAACUGGCAUGCCGUGGCAUGUCCUGUCGGUGGCGUGCGGGAGCCUUGUCUAGGCGACGACCCGAGCCAAAACUCGGUGUUCGGAGGCCGGAGGUCCAACCCGUGCGCCUACUCUAUCCUACCUAGGUGCUCUUUACCGAGUGUCGAGGUAGGCCGACACGUUUACUUUGAACAAAUUAGAGUGCUCAAAGCAGGCUGAAAUCUCUGCCUGAAUAGUGGUGCAUGGAAUAAUAAAACAGGACCUUGGUUCUAUUUUGUUGGUUCUUAGGAACACAAGGUAAUGAUCAAUACGGACAGGCGGGGGCAUUCGUAUUGCGACGUUAGACUUGGCAAAUGCUUUCGCGGUGAAAUUCUUGGAUCGUCGCAAGACGCACAAGAGCGAAAGCAUUUGCCAAGUAUGUCUUGAUUGAUCAAGAACGAAAGUUAGAGGUUCGAAGGCGAUCAGAUACCGCCCUAGUUCUAACCAUAAACGAUGCCAGCCAGCGAUCCGCCGAUGUUCCUCCGAUGACUCGGCGGGGAGCUUCUUCCCGGGAAACCAAAGCUUUUGGGUUCCGGGGGAAGUAUGGUUGCAAAGCUGAAACUUAAAGGAAUUGACGGAAGGGCACCACCAGGAGUGGAGCCUGCGGCUUAAUUUGACUCAACACGGGAAACCUCACCAGGCCAGGACAUUGGAAGGAUUGACAGAUUGAUAGCUCUUCUUGAUUCAGUGGGUAGUGGUGCAUGGCCUUCUUAGUUGGUGG